GUUAAAUGGAGUAAAGAAUCUCUUAGAGAUAGGCUAAGACCCGACCCUGCUUUUGCUACUUCACCUAUUUGCGUUCCUGAUAAGGAUUAUUAUGAUUUUUCUAUUGAUCCAGAUAUAAUUACUUUGGUUGAAUCUGAUCCUUUCUAUGGCUAUGAAUCUGAAACUGUUGUGGCACAUCUUACUAAGUUGAAUGAUAUAGCUGCCCUGUUUACUAAUAAUGAGAGAUUGCGCUACCUUUAUUUACUCAAAAUAUUUCCGUUCUUAUUAAAGGGUGAUGCUAAGAUAUGGUUUAAUUCUCUUGAUCCUGGUUGUGUUCAAAGUCCCCAGGAUAUGAUUUAUUACUUCUCUGCUAAAUAUUUCCCUGCUCAUAAGAAACAAGCAACCUUGAGGGAAAUAUAUAACUUCGUGCAAAUUGAAGAAGAGAGUCUCCCACAAGCUUGGGGAAGGUUUCUCAAGUUACUUAAUGCUUUACCUGAUCAUCCUCUUAAGAAACCUGAAAUACUUGAUAUCUUUUAUAAUGGA
rnacentral:rRNA from 1 species